UGGCAAAUAAAGUGGUGUUGAUUUUUCGUAUUUCUUUGUUGUUCUGAAGCACAAUAUGUAUAUAUACAAAUUUACCCAUCACUAGUCCCCGAGUGACAAACUAGGAGAAAAGGGCUAAAGCAAGAAUAAAGUAGUAUCUGAAUCGUCGAAUAACUGGGGAUACUUGUCCCACAUACUUUUUCUGUCGACUAUGGGCUGCUAGAAACUUAGAUUGAAUACUUCUCAUCUUACCCUGAACAUCUUUCACCAAAUCAACUCUCAAAGGUUUCACAUCUUCAGCCUCAAACCAACCAAUUGAACACCUACACAUCCUCCCAUACAAUGCCUCAAUGAAGUCAUCUCAAUACUCGAGUGAUAAAUAUUGUUGUAUGUAAACUUAACUACAACAAAAGUGAUUCCCAACAACCACCAAAGUGGAUCGUACAUACGUCUACAACAUGUUAUCAAGGACCUUGACACAAUCAUCCGGACGAAUCCUUUAGCACUUAAGCAUGAUAAAAUUC
rnacentral:lncRNA from 1 species